rnacentral:rRNA from 1 species
UUGACCUACGGGGGGCAGCAGUGAGGAAUAUUGGUCAAUGGCCGAGAGGCUGAACCAGCCAAGUCGCGUGAGGGAAGAAUGUCCUAUGGAUUGUAAACCUCUUUUGUCAGGGAGCAAAGUCACCCACGUGUGGGUGUUGGAGAGUACCUGAAGAAAAAGCAUCGGCUAACUCCGUGUCAGCAGCCGCGGUAAUACGGAGGAUGCGAGCGUUAUCCGGAUUUAUUGGGUUUAAAGGGUGCGUAGGCGGUCCGUUAAGUCAGCGGUAAAAUUGCGGGGCUCAACCCUGUCGAGCCGUUGAAACUGGC